CCCCAGCUGAACCCCACGCUCGGGGCGAAAUCCGUUAGUGUGUGCAUCUUCCUCGCCCGCUGGUCCUGGACCAAUCCUGUCGAGUCCCUGCGCCCCAGCGCACGGGUGGGGGGGGAUUUGGGAGAUGACGUCUGCGGGGCGCUAGCCCCACGUGUCCUCGGUGGGUGGGGGGGCAGGACGGGGCGGGCCCACCCAGCACAGGCCUGGCCCGGAGUAGUAGACGCUCAAUAAAGGAUUGUUGAACUGAAGUGAAGGGGAAAAUUGACUUUCUUUGCUGAGUGCUGCCCGGAGCCCUGCCAUCGACGGCGGCCUUCGCUCCCUCCUGCUGUAUUAAGUGGCCGCGCUGUUUGUUUGUAGCCGCCCGACCAAAGGACGCACGCCUUCGACUCCGGGAAAAUCGUGAUCUCGGGCCGCUCCUGCUGAUGGAGCCUCAGACGGCAUCUGGCUCACGGGGUACCGGGGACAAAGGGCUCCUGAUGCGGGGACGGGGUGGGCCACCCCCCCGGGGGCUCCAUCAGUCUGCGGCCCCUCCCCAGACUCGGCCUCAGAGCGGGACACGGAGACGUGACCAGGGCAGACUCCUGGCCCGGCCUCCAGCAGCCCCGGCCUGGGUGCGCCGUGGGGACAGACACACGGGCUUGGAAAUUGGAGGGUGCUGUGGCCGGGCUGCGGGUGCGCCAUCGUCGGGCAACGGGGGCCUCCCCUCACCCCAGCACCCUGCCAGCCUGGAUGUGAGGGCCCACCCCACCCAGCGGCACUCCCUCUCCCUCUCCCUCUCUUCCCCUCUCUCUUUCUCUCUCUCUCUCUCCACACCAGCCCCUCUGGGCCUGUGCCUCUUGCUCCCACCUUGUCCCCCAAGGCCAGCGGCCAGCCAGGGGGGCAGCCCCUCCUUCACCACUCCCCGGGAGCCCUUACGUGGCAUCCCAGACCUGGGGGUCCUGGGAGACUCCUUGCAGCAGACUCUGGGUGCCCCUGGGUCCCCCAGGCCCCCCGCGUGCCAGGCCAAGUGCCAGGAGGUGGCGUGGAGCCGGGAGCAGACCGAGACGCUAGGAUUCUGGGCGGGAACCUGGGGCCGUGUCCAGGGCUGGGAGGCAGCUAGCUGGGGGCAUCAAGGGGAGGCCUCAGGGAGGAAGGGGUGGGGUUGGGAGAGCAGGCCCGCGGGGAAGGCUGCAGGGGGAUGUGUUGCUCCACGCACAGGGCCCGGCGGACGGGUGGGUGGCAGCAGGCCUCAGCGCCUGCCCCAGGCUGCUCGCUGGGAGCCCCCACGCUGGGUCUGGCCUGUGCAAGGACACCUGGGGGGCCCCUGUCUGUCUCCUGCUCGGACCAUGCACUCUGGGGAGAGGGACCGGUGCCCCCCGGCCUCUGUGCCCAGCCACAGGGUCCUCGGUCACCCUAUCGGGGCCCUGGGAGAAAGAGGCAGACACAGGAGGCCCAGCCCUGGCUCCACCGCCCCAGGGACUCACUUGCCCAGCGGGGACCCUG
rnacentral:lncRNA from 1 species